AUGCAGUCGAGCGAAUCUGAGGGAGCUUGCUCCCAAAGAUUAGCGGCGGACGGGUGAGUAACACGUGGGCAACCUGCCUGUAAGACUGGGAUAACUCCGGGAAACCGGGGCUAAUACCGGAUAAUAUCUAUUUAUACAUAUAAUUAGAUUGAAAGAUGGUUCUGCUAUCACUUACAGAUGGGCCCGCGGCGCAUUAGCUAGUUGGUGAGGUAACGGCUCACCAAGGCGACGAUGCGUAGCCGACCUGAGAGGGUGAUCGGCCACACUGGGACUGAGACACGGCCCAGACUCCUACGGGAGGCAGCAGUAGGGAAUCUUCCGCAAUGGACGAAAGUCUGACGGAGCAACGCCGCGUGAGUGAUGAAGGUUUUCGGAUCGUAAAACUCUGUUGUUAGGGAAGAACAAGUACCGGAGUAACUGCCGGUACCUUGACGGUACCUAACCAGAAAGCCACGGCUAACUACGUGCCAGCAGCCGCGGUAAUACGUAGGUGGCAAGCGUUGUCCGGAAUUAUUGGGCGUAAAGCGCGCGCAGGCGGUUCCUUAAGUCUGAUGUGAAAGCCCACGGCUCAACCGUGGAGGGUCAUUGGAAACUGGGGAACUUGAGUGCAGAAGAGGAAAGUG
rnacentral:rRNA from 2 species